rnacentral:rRNA from 1 species
UAACAUGUGCGCGAGUCGUACGGUUCUGUGAAACCUGAAGGCGCAAUGAAAUUGAAGUUCCGACUAGUUCGGACCGAGGGAGGAUGGACGUGUCUGCCCAAGUGGCGGCGUCCCGCACUCCCGGGGCGUCUCGUUCUCACUGCGAGAAGAGGCGCACCCAGAGCGUACACGUUGGGACCCGAAAGAUGGUGAACUAUGCCUGGCCAGGACGAAGUCAGGGGAAACCCUGAUGGAGGUCCGUAGCGAUUCUGACGUGCAAAUCGAUCGUCAGAGCUGGGUAUAGGGGCGAAAGACUAAUCGAACCAUCUGGUCGCUGGUUCCCUCCGAAGUUUCCCUCAUGAUAGCUGGUGCUCGGAGGAGAAUCUCAUGCGGUAAAGCGAAUGAUUAGAGGCCUUGGGGCCGAAACGACCUCAACCUAUUCUCAAACUUUAAAUGGGUGAGAUCUCCGGCAUGCUU